GGGUUGUGAGGUUAAGCGACUAAGCGUACACGGUGGAUGCCCUGGCAGUCAGAGGCGAUGAAGGACGUGCUAAUCUGCGAUAAGCGCCGGUAAGGUGAUAUGAACCGUUAUAACCGGCGAUUUCCGAAUGGGGAAACCCAGUGUGACUCGUCACACUAUCAUUAACUGAAUCCAUAGGUUAAUGAGGCGAACCGGGGGAACUGAAACAUCUAAGUACCCCGAGGA
rnacentral:rRNA from 1 species